AAAAGGGUCCUGAGAAGCAAUGGAUAUGAAAUUGGCACAAUUUCCAAAUUAUGAUCCAAUUUUGUGUUCUUGCCAACUCCGUUGCUGUCUUUGUCAAGCCAAACACUGGCACCCAGGCUAAGUUAAGAGGUACAGACUGACUGGCACCCAGGCUAGGUUGAGAGGUACAGACUGACUGGCACCCAGGCUAGGUUGAGAGGUACAGACUGACUGGCACCCAGGCUAGGUUGAGAGGUACAGAUCGACUGGCACCCAGGCUAGGUUGAGAGGUACAGACUGGCACCCAGGCUAGGUUGAGAGGUACAGAUUGACUGGCACCCAGGCUAGGUUGAGAGGUACAGACUGGCACCCAGGCUAGGUUGAGAGGUACAGACUGACUGGCACCCAGGCUAGGUUGAGAGGUACAGAUUGACUAGCACCCAGGCUAGGUUGAGAGGUACAGACUGACUGGCACCCAGGCUAGGUUGAGAGGUACAGACUGACUGGCACCCAGGCUAGGUUGAGAGGUACAG
ensembl:lncRNA